rnacentral:rRNA from 1 species
CCUACGGGAGGCAGCAGUGGGGAAUAUUGCGCAAUGGGCGAAAGCCUGACGCAGCGACGCCGCGUGAGGGAUGAAGGUCUUCGGAUCGUAAACCUCUGUCAGCAGGGAAGAACGGUCACUGUGCUAAUCAGCAGUGAAUUGACGGUACCUGCAAAGGAAGCACCGGCUAACUCCGUGCCAGCAGCCGCGGUAAUACGGAGGGUGCGAGCGUUAAUCGGAAUUACUGGGCGUAAAGCGCUCGUAGGCGGUAUGUCAAGUCAAGGGUGAAAUCCCCGCGCUCAACGUGGGAACUGCCUUUGAAACUGGCAGACUGGAGUGUGUGAGAGGAAAGUGGAAUUCCAGGUGUAGGAGUGAAAUCCGUAGAUAUCUGGAGGAACAUCAGGGGCGAAGGCGACUAUCUGGCACAUAACUGACGCUGAGGAGCGAAAGCGUGGGUAGCAAACAGGAUUAGAUACCCUUGUAGUC